CACCAGGGAGAGCAUUUACCCCUAUCUAGAGGAUAUACCAGACCCUGGAGUGAACUGGAUUCCAUGUAGAGACCCCUGGAGGAAGAGUAAAAAGAUGAAUGAGCCUGUUUCCAAAGAGCUUUGCUAUCACUGUCAUUCAGAAUGCAAUCAAUAUGGCCAAUGGAAAUUGUAUAGGACUUGAAAAAGGAAGCCCUACUUCUGGGACCACAUUUUACGACCACCUAGCUGAGUGAUAAAUCACUAAAAUAUAGUAAGUUUGAGGAAAUGUCUAUUGAAUUAGAUUCGGCAACACACCAGUGCAACAAAGACUCAGCUGCCUGGCCAAGGACAACUCUAUCUAUGUCGUGGCUAAUAUUGGGGACAAGAAGCCAUGCAAUGCCAGUGACUCUCAGUGUCCCCCUGAUGGCCGUUACCAAUACAACACUGAUGUGGUGUUUGAUUCUCAGGGAAAACUGUUGGCACGCUACCAUAAGUACAAUCUUUUUGCACCUG
rnacentral:lncRNA from 10 species